CCUGGUGGCUCAGAGGUUAAAGCGUCUGCCUGCAAUGCGGGAGACCUGGGUUCAAUCCCUGGGUCAGGA
rfam:Ovis aries breed Texel chromosome 6, whole genome shotgun sequence.